rnacentral:lncRNA from 1 species
AUGCAUUCACAAGCAGUGACUGGGAUGUGUUUAGGGGAAGAGAAGAGAAUGGAAAAGCAUUACAGUGCAGAAUGGAAAUCCCUGGUAAGUCAUUUUGUGGUUGUAUCCUUCUUGCAUUCCACAUUUGGUCCUUUGGAAAACCCCCAAAGAGAUUGUGAUUCCACUAGGAGAACAAGGGGAUCACAUUCCUUAGGACAUUUGAGCUGUCCAUGAAGACAGUCCUUUGCAGUUGCUCACACCCCCGUGAGCUGUAAACUCAGCAAGAUGCCAAGGACCCGCUCAAAUGUGGCCUUAAGGACAUUGGGAGUGAAGAGAAGCACAGCUACCUUCUGCACUCUUGUCAGGCAGAGGAUUCUCAGCCCUGCAGGGGCUGCCAAAGUUCUCUCCUCUCCUCUCUGCCUCCUGAGAAGCUCUAGUUCUCUACUCCAGCCCCUUCCUGAGAAGCUCUAGUUCUCUACUCCAGCCCCUUCCUGAGAAGCUCUAGUUCCCUACUGCAGCCCCCAAUUGUGCAGCAUAAGAAAUCAGGUGCAGAGCUCCCUCCACCCCAACCUCCUGUCCCACAUGAGCAAAACUUGUUGAAAGCUGGCUGCGGGGAAUCUGGGGCUGAGGUGCUUCAUCAUCAACACUGAGCGUCUUCCGGUGCGGGGCUGACUGCAGUAUAGAAUAAGGAGGCCUCUGUGUUGUGAGGCAAUCCUUUUGCAGAACAGCUGAAUGAACCACGAUUGACUGUAGCAUCAAGUGCCUCUGCUCCAGCCCUGCUCUGUGCUUCAGGGCUGGGUGGAGGAGGCAGGGCAGUCACCGUCUUUCCCAGGGAAGUCUACAGAGCAGGGAAGGAGGUUCACUGAUGUGAGCAGGGAACGUGAGGCACAAGGAGAGUCGCCGGCAGUUGAACCAGAUCUUUGAGGGAAUGAAAGAGACCAGCAUGGGCCCUGCCAAUUACGCAUGGCGCCUGCGGUCAGGUCGCUUUCAGUUCCCUUAUGCGUCGGGGAUUCUCAAUCCUGGCUGCACAUUAGAAUAGUCUGGGAUUUGUUGUUGGUUGUUGUUGUUGUUGUUGUUGUUUUUGCUGAUGUCUGGGACCCAUCCCUAGAGAAUCUGAUAAAAAUGAUCUGAGCUGAGAUCCUGGCUUCGGUGGCUCCUAAUGUGCACAUAUUUGUUUGUUACUUUGUUUGGGGGUGGAAAACAUUUUCUUUCGUUCUGUGUUCUGGAUUAAGGCUCUUGCCUUCUUCAGACCUUGGACAGCUCACAGAGGGUUACACCCUCGGCCUUAGCGCCAGAAAAAAACUCACAAGCGUCCUACUGCGCCCUCUUGUGUCAGCAGUGAUACCGUACAGCUCCUAAGGAAAACAUUUUAUUACACAAGUUACCAACAGAGAAGAAAAAUAUACAAAAACGAAAAAAAUAUACAAGUAACCUGUAAUCCUCACUGUUAGACAACACAUGGGUAUCUCUGCAGAAUUUUUGAUAAAUUUUGUUCUCUACAAAAAUAGAAGGUUGCAUACGCUGUCUUGUUAACAUUUUACUUAAUAACCGUGAAUAUGUUUUCAUGUAAAUGAAUUUAAUUCUAUAUUAUUUUAAUUGCUUGCACAACUGAAUAGCAUUUCACAUGCAAUGGUAGUAAAAAUAUUUAACAUUUAUUGGGCACUUACUACGUGCCAGGAACUGAGGUUAGUACUUGGCAUAGAUAAUCUCAUUGUAUAUGCACAGCAUCCAUAUGAAGUAGGUAUUAUAAUUAUUCCCAUUUCAUAGAUAAGGACAUCGACGUUAAUUUUCUGAAGUGGUAUAACCAGAAUGCAACGUAAGCAUUUUACUCUAUAUUACCAGGUACAUUCAAUUUAUCUCUUACUGUUGUCGUAUUUGUUGUUUCCUUUGGAAAUUGUCUUUUCUCUCACUCUCUCUCUCUCUCUCUCUCUCUCUCUCACACACACACACACACACACACACACACACACAGAGGCCAUAGGACUGUUUCCUUAUUCCUUAUGCUAGACUCUUAGAUGGAUUCACGGAUCAAAA